AGGCACAGGCUGAACUCUGGCUCUGAGAGUGAAGACACUCCAGGGUUUGGAGUGGGCCACCUGAAUUUGACCCUCAGGGCAGAUAUCCUCGAGUUCCAAGGAAGGCCCAGGCCGUGUCAAGGAGCCACCUCCAGAGCACUGAUGUGGUGACAUGGCUCCCCUUGGAGUUGGGAGAAGGCUAAAUUAGCACUGGAUGACAAUAACCCACCAAAGUGACAACCAGACUCCUUCUGGUGGCCUUGCCCCCUAUGGACACUGUCAGUCAUGUGGCUUUUGUGGGUGAGCUCU